UGGUGCGUGGUCAUUCUCAGUCCCUUUGUCUCUGGCUGAAUAUAUGUACAUAUCUCCCUGUCUGUCUUGUGUUUGAGUUCCUGACCUGUCCCUGUGUGUCCUGUCCUGGUUCUUCCUGCCUGGCAUUUGGUCCGUCUCAGAGUCUGUUUGUCAACACGUUCCUGAGCUCUCCUCUAUGGUGCAUUAUGUGGUCUUCUCCAUCAGCCUGGUCUUGCUGCCCACUCUGUUGCCAAAAUAUUCUGCCAGUUGUUUCCUGAAGCUUUCCCAGUGGCCUUCCCUAGCUGUUCAUGUUUAUUGUGUUCCUCUUGUGGUAUCUUGUGCACUUCACUACCUCUUGUAUCAGUCUGACUUGUCAAUAAAACCUUUUUAUCUCACUGCAA